GCGCUCCCUUCGGCAGCACAGAUGCUAAAAUGGGAACAAUACGGAGAAAAUUAGCAUGGCCCCUGCUCAAGCAUCCCAUAUUUUUAAAAAAGAAGUGUU
rnacentral:snRNA from 1 species